rnacentral:lncRNA from 1 species
CUCUGGGAAGAAAGCUCAGACAUGACUGAGUCUUCUGGAAGCCAGAAGGUACCAGAUGCUGGACGACUUGGAAGGCAAGCAAGGAGGUAGCAACCCAAGGGGACAGAUCUCGGGGACUAUGCACGGCCCCGGAGGUAUUUUAUUUGCUUUGUACCUUAGAUGCCUCUGCCAUUGCAGCCCUGGCCUUCAGUCUGCCUGCACUUCCUUUCCUCCAGAGACGUUGUUGCAGAGAGAGCUCACAGGAGUCAAAACAACAAGCCCGGUGAUAUGAAAACCAUAUGUAAACUUGGCAGGGCUGCCUUGUAGCCUAAUGGGCCUCCCAGACAUUGCAGGCCCACAGACACUGGCCUUUUGUGAGGCAGGAGACCUGCCUCCCCCUCCCUCGCUCCCAUUCUGUGGAGACAAAAUGAAAAAGGAAAGAGAGACAAGGAAGGCAGCCAGCUCUUUUCCCGACAGCCAUGUGUUUCCGCGGCUUGGGGCUGAGUGACACUGGGCUCAGUGAGGGAUAAGCAUGCAUCGGGCAUUGGGUGUCUGUGGACAGCCUUGUUCCCAGGACCUUCAUUUCUGUCGCUUGGUCUUCAUGGCACGCCCAUUUCAGAGACAAGGUCACUGAGGCUGAUGGAGGUCUCGAGAUGUUACUGAUAACUGGUUUCUCCACCAGUGACGCAUCAAAUACAAGAGAAUAUAAAUGAUCCCUUUGAUAUUUGUCAUUGCAAAGCUGCCUCCCAGGUAACCUUUGGAUCAUUUCAAACAAAUUUAGUAACAUUCAAAACUUUGCCUGCAGCUUGCUUUUUCCCAUUAUGUAGAGAGAAACUGAGAUAUAACUCUCUCCCUUUGUGACGUUGCUGCAAUGAUGGAUAAUAUUCUAGGGUGCCAUUGUUGUUCCUACCUGAAAUUACUAUACAGCUCAAGGCCCGCUGGGUGUGGAGGAUGACUGUAUUCCAGAAUGAUCAUCACUGGGGGUGCUAAAAGAUAUCAUUUUUUAGAAUAGCUUAAAAAAGAAAAAGAGAAGCCAGAUAAAUGGUAGAUAGGGCUUUGCAGUUAUGGCGGCUUAUCCUGUGUUUCCAAAGACUGGAAUAAGCAUGUUCGAUAGGCAAAUGCUCCUGCAAGCUGGCCUGUGUCUGUAACCUAUGAAUCACGACUCAUCUUGGAAUGGCUUCUAAAAAGACCCAAGGAUACUUGAACGGCAUAUGCAAACUCAAUAACCAUUGGUGGGGUCAGCCCCCAUGGGCUCAAGUGUGCUGGCAUGAGCUCUUCUAUGGACUACAGGGCUCCCAUCUGGGCUCAGUCUGCUAUGAGAUGCUUCCUGAGCUGCGCCAGAGCUCUAAAGGCGCUGUCUGGUGAUGAUGUGGAGAGGGUGUGCGCUCUCACUUGCAGGGGGCUAGAUGAAACCUUAGCAUCCCUUAGAUGAGCGAAAGCAGCAGCAAAUGGGAGGAGGGCAGCCCAGGGGCAGGGAGCAAAGUCCCCUCAUAGACGGUGGCAGUAGUCAAUGAGUCACUUGGUACCCACACCUAAUGGCUCUAGGAAAAAGCUGUGUCCCCAGGCAUUGGUGAAGCACGACAUUUUUAUUAUGUUUUGAUUUAUAAUGUAUCUUGUCAGUGUGGAGUAGGGUGUGACAGCCCCUUCCCAGUGUGGGAAAUACAUUUCCAGACCCUCAGUGCUGCACUAUGGGGUAAUACUAUAAUAUAUAGUAUAGAAUAUAUAUGCUAUAAUGAUAUAGUAAUAUAGAUCCCAUAUUUACUAUGUUUUCCUAUCUAUAUUUGUGUCCAGAUAAAAUCUAGUUUAUAAAUUAUGUACAGUAAGAGAUUAAUGAAAACAGCUAACAAUAAAAUAGAAACGGUUAUAACAUGUUAUGAUAAAUGUGGUAAAAUGUAUGAAUUAUUUAUUUGGGGAGACUAUUUUUCCAUCUAACAUUUUCAGACAAAAGUUGAAACGGAAACCAUGGAAAUGAAAACCCCAGCUGGGGGGAGCAACUGCAUCUCACACAUGCACUACUUUUUCAGAAUAGGUUGUCUUUCAAAUAGGCUGGCCAGAUUCUGAUCGAUGUGCCGAGGGGGUGGGCUGCAGAGCACUUGGCGGGAGAGAGGUGGGAACAGAAAGAUCUCUGUAACCAGUGUCCGGGCUCUCUAGCUCCUCCCACAGCCUUUGAUUCCCAUGAUUUUGGUGCUCAUUUUAAAAUAUGCAAAUUAACCUUUACUUUAAGCCUCUUUGGUAUGGUUUUGCCACCCUUGCUAGAUAUAGCCAGGCGCAGAGAGAAACCAAGUAGUAACCAGUCCCAUCUCCAAGAGACGGGCGAAACAGAAACAUCUCCACCCCGCUUUCCACGCCAGACUAAGGCCGCGCAUUGUGUUGUCUAAAUAGGCCCAUGCUAAAUAGUGUCCUCUCCAAAGUCAGCAGACCCAUGCAUGAAGGAUGUCUCUGACCAAGCACCCACAAACCCCAUAGCACUCUUCUUCGUUCAACGCAGUGCUAACCGCUCUGUGAACAGAGAGCUCCUCUCCAGAGGAUGCAAUUUAAGAGGAGGAAUAUCCAAACGUGAUUUUUAAGAGAAUGGAGCUGAUCCAGGAACUGAUAGCAUUUCCAGAGCCAAGUCUCAGAAGGCCCGCAGAACAAAUGGAGAGCAUUUCAAUGGCAUCAGCGGAGGAUGUGACUUGUCAGGGCAGAUUUGCUAACAGGAAAGGGAACAGAGACCGCUCUUGUCUAGACGUCUGAUUAGCGGGGAACUGUAGGAUUAGGAGAGUGUGGAGUUUUCUGGCUGCCAUUCUAAGAAGGCUGGGCUUUCUGUGAAGAGGGCUAGAUGAGAGUAACAUUUGUUUCCAUUGAAAAUGCAGACUGGUCCUAAUCCUGCUUGGACCGCACACACCACGCCAGACCAAGGGACUAAAACCCACUGAGCUGCCGGUUUUGGAUAAUGAAUGAUGGGUAAACUUUGACUCAGGCUCAUUUUGAGUGUGAUGUUUUUAUUCAUUUGCAAGAUUUUUAAUAAUAAAAUUUGUUUUAAAAAAUUAGAAUUUUUGUUUUUCCAGAUAGGGUUUCUCUGUGUAUAGAUAGCCCAGCCUGUCUUGGAACUCACUCUAUAGACCAGGCUGGCCUUGAACUCCUAGAGGUCCACCUUCCUCAGCCUCCCAAAUGCUAGAAUUAAAGGCGUGCACUGUUUAACGAGAGGUGGACCAUCAGGGUCUUGGCCUCAGAGAUGCAAGAGUCUCUGGGGAAUAGGGUAACUUUGGAACCGUUUUCUCCUCCUCUGGUCCUCCCAUUUCAGCCUCGGAUUGCCACGUGAGCACUCUGAUGCCCAUUCUCCAGGUUGGUAAAAUCUCUUUUAGUGUUAGAACACUUCAUCUGUGUCUCCUCAGCCCACGUAGGGCUCUCUGGAAACCACAGCACUUCAGGGAUGGAAACUAUGGCAGGGGUCGGAGCAAGAGUAGACCUUCUUCCUCCGGUGGCCCUGAAGCGAGGUGACCACGGAGUAGGGGACUCCAAGGGCUCCGGUAAUAGGGGACUCCAGAGACGACAGGCUAGUACUGAAAGGAAAUGAGCUCAGAAACAUGAGAUUCUUAGAGAAAGUCGACUUUCUAAAGCUCUCCGUUUCGUCAUCCUUCCCCAGUCCCCGGCGUUUCAUGCUGUCAGUCACCGCCGCCUUCAGCCUAGGGCUGCAUAUUUUUGCCAUGACCUAAGACAGGGAACAGUUAGACCCUGUCUGUUAGGAAGUCACAGCCCAACUCAGUCACAGGAGCAAGCCACUGGCAAAGGCAGUGGUCGGGGCUUGAAAAAGCAAAGGGUGAUUAGAGCCAUCCCAGGCCAUCUAGGGAAACUGAGUCAGCUGAAUUUAAAACAGGGACUCUGAUCCGGGCAGAUAGGGAAAAAGAAAGAAAGAAAGAAAGAAAGAAAG